AGGACGAACGCUGGCGGCGUGCUUAACACAUGCAAGUGGAGCGACGAACCAGGGCUUGCCCUGGGGCAAAGCCGCGAACGGGUGAGUAACACGUGGGUAACCUGCCCCGAUGACCGGGACAACCCGAGGAAACUCGGGCUAAUACCGGAUGACUCCUUCAAGCUCAAGCCUGAAGGGAAAAGGAAGCUUCGGCCUCCGCAUUGGGAGGGGCCCGUGGCCCAUUAGCUUGUUGGUGAGGUAACGGCUCACCAAGGCUUCGACGGGUA
rnacentral:rRNA from 1 species